GACGAACGCUGGCGGCGUGCCUAAUACAUGCAAGUUGAGCGAUGAAGAUUGGUGCUUGCCCCAAUUUGAAGAGCAGCGAACGGGUGAGUAACGCGUGGGGAAUCUGCCUUUGAGCGGGGGACAACAUUUGGAAACGAAUGCUAAUACCGCAUAACAACUUUAAACAUAAGUUUUAAGUUUGAAAGAUGCAAUUGCAUCACUCAAAGAUGAUCCCGCGUUGUAUUAGCUAGUUGGUGAGGUAAAGGCUCACCAAGGCGAUGAUACAUAGCCGACCUGAGAGGGUGAUCGGCCACAUUGGGACUGAGACACGGCCCAAACGCCUACGGGAGGCAGCAGUAGGGAAUCUUCGGCAAUGGACGAAAGUCUGACCGAGCAACGCCGCGUGAGUGAAGAAGGUUUUCGGAUCGUAAAACUCUGUUGGUAGAGAAGAACGUUGGUGAGAGUGGAAAGCUCAUCAAGUGACGGUAACUACCCAGAAAGGGACGGCUAACUACGUG
rnacentral:rRNA from 1 species